CCUACGGGAUGCUGCAGUGAGGAAUAUUGGUCAAUGGACGAGAGUCUGAACCAGCCAAGUAGCGUGAAGGAUGACUGCCCUAUGGGUUGUAAACUUCUUUUAUAUGGGAAUAAAACGUUCCACGUGUGGGAUUUUGUAUGUACCAUAUGAAUAAGGAUCGGCUAACUCCGUGCCAGCAGCCGCGGUAAUACGGAGGAUCCGAGCGUUAUCCGGAUUUAUUGGGUUUAAAGGGAGCGUAGGUGGAUUGUUAAGUCAGUUGUGAAAGUUUGCGGCUCAACCGUAAAAUUGCAGUUGAAACUGGCAGUCUUGAGUACAGUAGAGGUGAGCGGAAUUCGUGGUGUAGCGGUGAAAUGCUUAGAUAUCACGAAGAACUCCGAUUGCGAAGGCAGUUCACUGGACUGCAACUGACACUGAGGCUCGAAAGUGUGGGUAUCAAACAGGAUUAGAUACCCCAGUAGUC
rnacentral:rRNA from 1 species